UUCAUUGAUGACUCUUGGAAAGA
rnacentral:snRNA from 1 species